UGUAGCUUACUGGUAGAGUGCUUGCCUCAUAUGCACAGGGCCCUGGGUUCAAUCCCCAGCA
rnacentral:tRNA from 1 species